UUCCAGACUCCUACGGGAGGCAGCAGUGGGGGAUAUUGCACAAUGGGGGGAACCCUGAUGCAGCGACGCCGCGUGAAGGAAGAAGUAUCUCGGUAUGUAAACUUCUAUCAGCAGGGAAGAAAAUGACGGUACCUGACUAAGAAGCCCCGGCUAACUACGUGCCAGCAGCCGCGGUAAUACGUAGGGGGCAAGCGUUAUCCGGAUUUACUGGGUGUAAAGGGAGCGUAGACGGCAGUGCAAGUCUGAAGUGAAAGGCGGGGGCCCAACCCCCGGACUGCUUUGGAAACUGUGCUGCUGGAGUGCAGGAGAGGCAAGUGGAAUUCCUAGUGUAGCGGUGAAAUGCGUAGAUAUUAGGAGGAACACCAGUGGCGAGGGCGGCUUGCUGGACUGUAACUGACGUUGAGGCUCGAAAGCGUGGGGAGCAAACUGGAUUAGAUACCCGUGUAACG
rnacentral:rRNA from 1 species